GUUAAGGGGAUCGUUGUCUGGUUCAAGGUCUCCACAUUAUGCGCCAUGCUCAUGCAUGGAGGCUUUCACGAUCUGCUUGACAUGGAGUGUAUUUGCUUGGUGAUCUCGGACCAGGCUUCAAUCCCUUUAAC
rnacentral:pre_miRNA from 1 species